rnacentral:rRNA from 1 species
UACGUAGGGCGCAAGCGUUGUCCGGAAUUAUUGGGCGUAAAGAGCUCGUAGGCGGUUUGUCGCGUCUGCCGUGAAAACCCGAGGCUUAACCUCGUGGCUUGCGGUGGAUACGGGCAGACUAGAGGUAGGUAGGGGAGAAUGGAAUUCCUGGUGUAGCGGUGAAAUGCGCAGAUAUCAGGAGGAACACCGAUAGGCGAAGGCAGGUCUCUGGGCCACUACUGACGCUGAGAAGCGAAAGCAUGGGGGAGCGAACAGG